rnacentral:lncRNA from 1 species
GUACAAGUGAAGCUGAGAGAUCUGCUAUGAGGAGACUCACUUCCAGGCCGCUAGGGCUGGCUUCAAAACCACGGUCCUCUUGUGUCAGCCUGCUAAGUGCUCAGGUCACAGGUUCUGAAGAAAGUUCCCAAAGAGGAGCUGCAAAGUGCUUUGGCAAUGACAGCACCCUUGGAGUAGAGGUGUGGCUUCCCACACUCACUGCUGGUCUGAAGGAGCAGCAACACCUGUCCACCAAUCCAUGACUUUGAUGUGUUUAAGGAAAGUAAAGACGAGAACUUCUUUGAGUCGCAGGACUCCAUCAAUGCUCUGUGUACACACUUGCUGCAGCUGAAACCCAUCACAGACCUUGGGGAAAAACAGAUCCAGGACGAGUUCUUCAAACUCCUGCAGAUUUCUCUCUGGGGGAAUAAGUGCGACCUGUCUCUCUCAGGUGGAGAAAGUAGUUCUCAGAAGGCCGAUAUAAUAAAUUCUUUGAAAGACCUA